rnacentral:misc_RNA from 1 species
AUAAAUUAAAAUUGAAGAUUAAUGUUGCAUCUAAUUAGGGUUGAGCAUUUGAUUCAAACCGAACCGAAUCACCAAAAUCAAAAUAACCGAAUUGAUAAAUAUUAGAAACCAAACCAAAAUAUAUGAAAAAUCGAACAGAACCUAACCACCCUAAUUUGAUUCGGUUCGAUUUUAUUCGGUUUUGGGGUUUAUUGGGCAUUUUAUUUAGACUUGAUUUUCACAACCAUAUUUGGUCUCAUAUGG